GGACAAUCUUGGCCUGUGUCGCCGGGUCUUCGCUAUGAAGCGCGGUCUCCCAUGCUUCUUCGUCCUUAAAUAAAUUAUAUCCCGAAUCUGCAGAAUUGGUCCUCCGGAUUUCCCGUUUGCGUGAGGUAUCUCCAUCUGGGAGACAUGUGGUUCUUGGCUUGCAGGCGGCGCCAGCAGGUGACUGCCUCUGCGGACGUGAGGGACCUAUCCGGGAGUGGAUAUUUCCGACGUCAAGGCGCCUCCUUGACUUAAGGUCGGAGAACUUACCAUCCCGGAGCGCCCCAGUAUCAAGAUAUUGGGGCUAGACUUUCAGAACACGCUGCGCUGUGGGCUCAUGUUAAAGAAACUCCAGAAGGCGACCAACUACACACUAAGCAUAUUCGCCGGGUGGCAAAUCGGUACCACGGCAUAGGCGAGGACGAGCUGCUUCGACUUGUGCAGGCAUACAUAACCAGCAGAACCAUGUACUCGACACCAUAUGUCAAACUCGCAGCCACGGACUUAGCCAAAUUAAACACAAUGAUCAGACGAAGCACAAAGGCAGCCCUCCAUGGGCCUUCCAGACCACGCGGCCUCCGCAAGGCUAGAGCAUGCAUAGUACAUGACGAUUCCGCGAAAGGUCAGGGGGCAUAUUUAUGCCCCACCUCUACCCCGCAACAUGGACCGCGAGUUCCAUCAGGGCCGUCGGCAGGCUCCUAUGCAGUGAAGCCAUUUGGCGACGCUACAGCUCGCAAGAUGGAGUGGUCUGCACAGACGCAGCGAGACACCCUCGCGGCGACCUCAUGACCGCGGUGGUAGCGGAUCACAACGGAGGAUUGAUAGAACACACAACAAUCACGGCUGGCCGAGUGGUGGAAGCGGAGGAAACUGCGAUUGCCAUGGCCAUGCAUGCGGAAGCGAAUACCGUCAUGAGCGAUAGCAAGCAGGCCAUCGGCAAUUUCGUCCGCGGUAGAAUUUUCAAACAGGCGUACCAUGUCCUCACACAGCGCCCCCUAAGCGGCUUGAAAACCCUCGUGUGGACCCCCGCUCACGCGGCUGUGCCCGGCUACGUGUCGGCUCACAGUUUGGCUCGAGAUCUCAUGCACCAAGCCUCAUCCGUGGAUGCGGACAGCGUGAAUGAAGAGGAUAGACACGAAGAACCCUGCGAGACUUAUCAUGAAAUAGCCCAUAGAUAGCGCAUGGCGCUCUUUGGCCAUACCUGGCCCUUGCGCCAUUAAACUUCAAACAUCAUCACCAAAGAUAGCGCUUGAGGCGUCGCGCGCUCCCACCUCCGGCCAAGCAACUCGAUAAAAUGCAAGUGGUCGCGUUUCCCACACAUAUAAUGUGGGAAUGCACCCCCCGUCAGCAGCGAGACUUACUGGACAGCCUGGCUCAGUUCCAGGGAUUUCGACUGACAGCUUGAACUGGUGGACUGGGCGGAGAAGGCCAAGCAGGCCCAGGGCCUUACUUGAGCCCGAUCCCUCAGCCACAUCCCCCUUUACCCUUCCCCCUUUCAAUAAAGUUUACCACCACCAUG